rnacentral:misc_RNA from 1 species
GCUGGGGUGAUUUUUGCUCCUUUGAUUACACCAGAAGUAACAAUUUUCAAAGAAGUUUUAAACAGACAUCACAUUACCACAGAGGAUAACUUGGGGAAACUUGUAGCCAUGAGAGAAGAGGAAGCAGCUUGUUUCCGUUCCCAAUUUUCUUCAGAAAUCAGUAAAUACAGUAAAAAGAAUAGCAAUAAAAACUACAGUGAUGAUUUAUUAAGCAAGAGCAAGCAGGUGAAGAGCAGCGAACCUCUAGAAAGAGAUGAUGGGUUUGAAAAUUUUUAUGCUAAAAAAUAUGACAGGAAGACAAAUACUUAUGGAGAUGAGCUGGACAGUGAUUAGAGAGUGCAGAAGUGUAACAGAGGACUCUAAUACAGGGCAUUGACUGUAAGAUAAUGCAAUUCCUACCUGUGUCUAUACUAAUGCUGUGGUGUGUGUUGGAAGAAAAAUCAUUAAUUUUUUUUUUUUUUACAGAAUUGCAAGUACAUGUAUUUAGAGAGAAAUUUUUUUAUCAUAAAAACAAGAACACUACUAAUAAAGCUUGGUAUCCCCUCACGGCUGGAAUUUUUUUCAAAUGUGUUUUGAAUCAAGUUCAUCUUUUUAUUGACAUGUUCUAAUGUUAAUUUGAUUUAUACACACUCGAUUAUGUCCAAUAUACGGUAAUUACAUUGUAUGUAAUAAUAAUAAAGUUAUAUAUAUAAU